UGGGGAAUAUUGGACAAUGGGGGGAACCCUGAUCCAGCCAUGCCGCGUGUGUGAAGAAGGCCUUAUGGUUGUAAAGCACUUUAAGCGAGGAGGAGGGUACUGGUAUUAAUACUACCAGGUACUGGACGUUACUCGCAGAAUAAGCACCGGCUAACUCUGUGCCAGCAGCCGCGGUAAUACAGAGGGUGCGAGCGUUAAUCGGAUUUACUGGGCGUAAAGCGUGCGUAGGCGGCUAAUUGAGUCGGAUGUGAAAUCCCCGAGCUUAACUUGGGAAUUGCAUUCGAUACUGGUUAGCUAGAGUGUGGGAGAGGAUGGUAGAAUUCCAGGUGUAGCGGUGAAAUGCGUAGAGAUCUGGAGGAAUACCGAUGGCGAAGGCAGCCAUCUGACCUAACACUGACGCUGAGGUACGAAAGCAUGGGGAGCAAACAGG
rnacentral:rRNA from 1 species